rnacentral:tRNA from 1 species
GCUUGGGUGGCUCAGUCGGUUGAGCGGCCGACUCUGGCUCAGGUCACAUCUCCCGGUCCGUGGGUUCAAGCCCCACUUUGGGCU